GAGAUGAGUUGAACUCAACAGAGAAACCAGUAGAUUAUGAUAGAUGGAGAUGAGUUGAACUCAACAGAGAAACCAGUAGAUUAUGAUAGAUGGAGAGGAGUUGAACUCAACAGAGAAACCAGUAGAUUAUGAUAGAUGGAGAUGAGUUGAACUCAACAGAGAAACCAGUAGAUUAUGAUAGAUGGAGAUGAGUUGAAUGUUCUGGACUUCCAUGUUCAUAUCAAAGGCUUCAUGCACACUGUAUAAACAGGUGUAUACAGGUAUUGAUAUGAACAGGUGUAGAUAUGAACAGGUGUAGAUAUGAACAGGUGUGUACAUGUGUAGAUAUGAACAGGUGUAGAUAUGAACAGGUGUAGAUAUGAACAGGUGUAUACAGGUGUAGAUAUGAACAGGUGUAUACAGGUAUAGAUAUGAACAGGUGUAUACAGGUGUAGAUAUGAACAGGUGUAUACAGUUGUAGAUAUGAAAAGGUGUAGAUAUGAACAGGUGCCUCUACAGGUGUGUGUAGGUUGUGUCUACAGGUGCCUCUACAGGUGUGUGUAGGUUGUGUCUACAGGUGUGUCUGCAGGUGUCCCAGGUCAUGCUGGAGGUACAGACAGGAAGGGUCACCAGGUCAGAAGGUAGAGGUCACUCCAACCUGAUUAUUUUCCUCUC
ensembl:lncRNA